GUGCUCGCUUCGGUGGCACAUAUACUGAAAUUGGAACGAUACAGAGAAGAUUAGCAUGUCCCCUGCGCAAGGAUGACAUGCAAAUUCUUGAAAUGUUUCAUAUAUUA